UCACAAAGACUAAAUUACUAAAUAUUUUGGGAAGGGAUGUAUUUUUAUUUUAUUUUUUUGAAAAGAACUAUUUUGCCCUUAAGCUCCGUUUUUAAGCACUUGGCUUGCAUUUUAAAUCAUCCGUGAAGGGAAUUUCGAAAUGACUAAAGUACCCCGCAUGUCCCUUCGGCCAGGAUCGGUAAAGGAGUAAUUUCAUUACACCUAGCCGCCCAUAUAACCUAAAAUUUGGGGUUUCUCCUUCAGAAGCCACCGUCGAUCUUGCUCAUCAUGUCCUCGUCUUCUCUCUUCACAGCUCUGUUUCUUCUCCUAUUCUCCUCGAUUUUUGGUUUGCUUGUUACAAGCGAGAAGUACUAUGGCAUGAGGGGAGUCGGAAAAAGGUAUGUAGAUCGUAUGUUUUGAUUGUGUUAAGGGGACUAAUACAAUAUAAAUUCAUCUAAUGUAUUUGUACAAUUGUACUUGGAAAGCAUUUUGUUCAAUAUUAGUAAUAAUAAUAAUAAUAAUAAUAAUAAUAAAAAAAUUUGAAUUGAGAUGCUUGUUUAGCAAAUAAACCAUAAAUUUGUUGGAAGCUUUCUUGAUCCUAGUAUUUGAAACUCUUUUGUUCUUUUGUCUUUGUUCAAGGGAACUCAUGAUUGACUCUUGAAAAACACCUUAAUAGUAAUGCUAAAUUGCUCAUGUGAGUUAGUUCAUAUCUCAAACUUAUAUGUUCUCUUUUGUUUUUUUUAUUAUUAAAAAACAUAAAACACUUUCUAAAUAAUAUAUUAUCUUUCUAAUGAUUAAGUGAGGGUUAAGGGUUUUUUACAUGUAAAUUUAGAAAUCUCACAAUAAAAUGGGCAAAUAUUAUUUGAAAAACUUUUGGGGAUGUCUUUUCAAUAUGGAUCUUGCAAAGAUAUGAUAGAGAAUUUGUAAAAUAGUUGUUUGAGCAUUUUGCAUGAGUAUAAAUUUCAUCCAUUUCUAGGCAAAAGUCCCAAAAUCAUAUCAAGUUCUAAUGAUUAUUUCACUUACUAGGAAUCAUAAGUAGUGAUUGUCCCUUUACUAAAGGCAUGAUAAAAUGUGAGUGAAAUUUAGAUAAAAUGAUAGGAUUUACCUAUAUAACUUGUUUCUUAAUUUUCUAACAUUUUCUCUUUGUUAUUUUUUAUUUCGUCAGUAAUGAUAAAGAAAAUGUUAGGGUGAAAAGCAACCCUAAUGAAAGAAGUGGAUGAAAAUGGAUGGUCUACGCUUCAUUGUGCUGCUUAUGUUGGGAAUAUGACAAUCGUGCGAUCAUUUUUUAAAAACUCAGAUAAGCAAAUAAUAUAUUUUGGGACCAAAGAUGAAAACAAGACAGCUCUUCACAUUGCAGCGAUGACCAUAUGAAUAUUGUGAAAGAGUUGGUAUUACAUUCUCAAUUUGUUGUAAAAGUAAUAAAAGAGUCAGUAUUACAUUCUUAGUUUGUUGUAGAUCUAAUAAAAAAGUUAAUAUCACUUUCUCAGUUGUAAAUGUAAUGAAAGAACCGGUAUUCAUUAUUAGUUAUUUGUUGAUGUAGUGAAAGAGUUUGUAUUAUAUUUCCAAGUUGUACAUGUGGUGAAAAACAUGUAAUAACAUUUUGCAUAUUGUGUAGUGAAAGAGUUGGUAUUAUGUUCUCAAA